CAGGAAGAAAUAGCCAUUCUUGUCAGUUUUCGCAGUGGCCUCUUGCUUGUAUUUGGUGUUCUUGCAUGUCAGCUUUACAGUGGCACCUGUAAAAAUCGAAACCAAUGUGCUCAGUCUAGGUUCCAUGACAAUGCAAUGCAUGCCAGUCAUUGAUGUUGUAGAAACCUAGAAGUAUGAGCUCUAACGUUGAAAAAAGGUAAAGUUUGCUGCUUUAACUCAUAAAACGCCAAGCUAUUGAUGUUACCUCACAGAGUAAGUUAAAAUCCAAGAAACCAUUUCUCUCUCUCUCUCUCUCUCUCUGAACUCAAAUUUAAAAUGCAAGUUUCCCAUUCAAACAAACAUGAAAGUCACAUGCAUGCCUAAAUCAAAAUGAUUAUACCAUUAAAAAGAAAGACGUACUAGGGCUAAUGAUUCUCGAUGCAAAUGAAUAUAACCAAGCAUUGCACUUAAAGGUUUUGUUUAGUGAAAAAGAUGUUAAUUUUAUUCUCUUUUUUUAAGUAUAAUGAUAGGUUUCAAACUGACCCAAAAUAGGUUUUGCUCCCAACAGGGUGUUGGAUCCAGCGUAUUUGCAUGACUUGCAAAAAACAACGCCCUGAACAGCCACUAGGCUCCUUUGUGGUUUAGGAUAAGUAGGCGGCUUAGCUGGAGAAGGCGAUGGUGGAGGAUAUGUCGGCGGAUGCACUGGUGGCUUAGUCGGGGGCGCAGUUGGCGGCUUAGUUGGAGGAUAAACUGGUGGCUUGGGUGGAGGGGCGUAAGUUGGUGGCUUGGUCGGUGGCUUGGGCGGAGGAGCGUAAGUUGGCGGCUUGCUGGGUGACUUGGGUGGAGGAGCGUAAGUUGGCGGCUUGCUGGGUGACUUGGGAGGAGGAGCGUAAGUUGGCGGCUUGCUUGGUGACUUGGGUGGUGGAUAAACUGGAGCAAUCUUGGGUGCUUUGGGUGGGGGGUAAACAGGUGGGUGAGUUGGGGGCUUAGUAGGGGAAGGGGUUGGCUGGUGGGGAUGCGGAUGCGGAUGCGGAUGGGGAUGGUGAUGGUGGUGGUGGUGGCUUGGUGGGUGAGCAGGUGGCACUACAGGCGAAAUUCCAUGGUAAUGAGGAGGCAAAGCCUCAGGCAAGAUCUGAGAAGACACCGUGAAGCUACUCAGUACGAAAAGGGAAAGAUGCAGGAGCAAGGCAGCUUUAGUUGCUACUGCAAACCCCAUAUUUUGCUUAAAGCUUAGCUGUAAGAGACUUGAAGAGAGGU